rnacentral:rRNA from 1 species
AACGAACGCUGGCGGCAUGCCUAACACAUGCAAGUCGAACGAGACCUUCGGGUCUAGUGGCGCACGGGUGCGUAACGCGUGGGAACCUGCCCUUAGGUUCGGAAUAACUCCCCGAAAGGGGUGCUAAUACCGGAUAAUGUCUUCGGACCAAAGAUUUAUCGCCUUUGGAUGGGCCCGCGUUGGAUUAGCUAGUUGGUAGGGUAAAAGCCUACCAAGGCGACGAUCCACAGCUGGUCUGAGAGGAUGAUCAGCCACACUGGGACUGAGACACGGCCCAGACUCCUACGGGAGGCAGCAGUGGGGAAUAUUGGACAAUGGGCGAAAGCCUGAUCCAGCAAUGCCGCGUGAGUGAUGAAGGCCUUAGGGUUGUAAAGCUCUUUUACCCGGGAUGAUAAUGACAGUACCGGGAGAAUAAGCUCCGGCUAAAUCCGUG